rnacentral:tRNA from 1 species
GGAGAGGUCGCAUAGUUGGCUUAGUGCGCCGGUUUGCUAAACCGGUGUGGGGUUAAACCCACCGAGGGUUCGAAUCCCUCCCUCUCCGCCA